GAAGGGAAGAACGGGUAUUGGUCUAAUAGGCCUUUGUUUUGACGGUACCUUUAGAGGAAGCACCGGCUAACUCCGUGCCAGCAGCCGCGGUAAUACGGAGGGUGCAAGCGUUAUUCGGAAUUACUGGGCGUAAAGCGCACGUAGGCGGCCUUGUAAGUCAGGGGUGAAAUCCCACGGCUCAACCGUGGAACUGCCUUUGAAACUGCAGGGCUUGAAUCCUGGAGA
rnacentral:rRNA from 1 species